CAUUUACGUUGUAGAUGUCUAUGGGCUUCAGUAACCACUUAACACCAGGUGGACUGAGCUCGUCCAUUCAUCUAAACAAUAAAUAAAAUAAUC